rfam:Loxodonta africana unplaced genomic scaffold scaffold_7, whole genome shotgun sequence.
ACCAGGAUGGCCGAGUGAUCUAAGGCACUGCGUUCAGAUUGCAGUCUCCCCUAGAGGCAUGAGUUCGAAUCCCACUCCUGACA